rnacentral:rRNA from 1 species
GCGUGCUAUACAUGCAGUCGUACGCUUCUUUUUCCACCGGAGCUUGCUCCACCGGAAAAAGAAGAGUGGCGAACGGGUGAGUAACACGUGGGUAACCUGCCCAUCAGAAGGGGAUAACACUUGGAAACAGGUGCUAAUACCGUAUAACAAUCGAAACCGCAUGGUUUUGAUUUGAAAGGCGCUUUCGGGUGUCGCUGAUGGAUGGACCCGCGGUGCAUUAGCUAGUUGGUGAGGUAACGGCUCACCAAGGCCACGAUGCAUAGCCGACCUGAGAGGGUGAUCGGCCACAUUGGGACUGAGACACGGCCCAAACUCCUACGGGAGGCAGCAGUAGGGAAUCUUCGGCAAUGGACGAAAGUCUGACCGAGCAACGCCGCGUGAGUGAAGAAGGUUUUCGGAUCGUAAAACUCUGUUGUUAGAGAAGAACAAGGAUGAGAGUAACUGUUCAUCCCUUGACGGUAUCUAACCAGAAAGCCACGGCUAACUACGUGCCAGCAGCCGCGGUAAUACGUAGGUGGCAAGCGUUGUCCGGAUUUAUUGGGCGUAAAGCGAGCGCAGGCGGUUUCUUAAGUCUGAUGUGAAAGCCCCCGGCUCAACCGGGGAGGGUCAUUGGAAACUGGGAGACUUGAGUGCAGAAGAGGAAAGUGGAAUUCCAUGUGUAGCGGUGAAAUGCGUAAAUAUAUGGAGGAACACCAGUGGCGAACGCGGCUCUCUGAUCUGUAACUGACGCUGAGGCUCGAAAGCGUGCGGAGCAAACAGGAUUAUAUACAAUGGUAGUCCACACCCGUACACGAUUAAAUGCAAAGUGUUGUACGGUUCCGCCCCAUCACUGCUGCCGCUUACUCAAUAACCCUUCCCGCUUGAGCAGGGGGGCUUUCAACGUACAACUUUAAAAACUCAACCAGGUUGCGC